UACGAAGGGAGCUAGCGUUGUUCGGAAUCACUGGGCGUAAAGCGCACGUAGGCGGAUUUGCCAGUCAGGGGUGAAAUCCCGGGGCUCAACCUCGGAACUGCCUUUGAUACAGCAAGUCUUGAGUUCGAGAGAGGUGGGUGGAAUUCCUAGUGUAGAGGUGAAAUUCGUAGAUAUUAGGAAGAACACCAGUGGCGAAGGCGGCUCACUGGCCCGGUACUGACGCUGAGGCGCGAAAGCCAGGGGAGCAAAGCGGG
rnacentral:rRNA from 1 species